AACAACAGAACCAAAAUAAGAAACGUUACGGUAUUUCCGUUUUGUUUUUUUUAACAAAUAUUUAAGUUUCAAAAAAAAUAAUUCAUACAGAUUUCGUACCCAUUCACUGGAAAUGGCUGCCUCAUAUUAUCUUUCUGAUAUUGACCUUUUAUCCUGCAAUCAGCCAUCUAUUGUACAAAUAACAGGUAUACAAAUAAUAUUUUACUUUAUUUGUACAUGUACGAAUUAAGUCUCCUGUUAUCCUGCUUCCAUGUUGCGUACGGAGUAAUAUGGAUUUUUCUUUUUUGCAAACCAUCUAAUUUUUGGAGUCCUCUCCGCGGUCCGCGUUUAAAUUGUCGACGAUUUCAUUGAAAAAUUAAAGACACUGAUUUACAUUUGACAACGAAAGUUUUAAGUGUUGGGUGUAAAUUUCAGGAUAAAAACAAUAUAUGUACAUUGUCGGAAAAUAUAAAAUUGAUUUGUACUCGCUACGAA
rnacentral:lncRNA from 1 species